CUUAUUUAUUAUUAUUUUUUCUUCUUAUUUUAGAUUAAGGAAAUUAAGCCAAAUUUUCUUAUUAUUUCCUUGAAAACAUUAUUUAACUUAGAUUGACAACCGAAGCUAAGCAUAUAUUACGCUUACUAUUCUUGCCCUUGCGUCAUGACACUUUUUAGCUUUAAUUAUCGGUGUUAAUCCUUAUUAGAUAGAUUCAAAAUCAUCUCAUCUGCCCCACUACCAAAAAGAAAUUUAAAGAAAGAACGGCAGUGUCGGUCUCGUUAGGCUAUUAUAAUUUUCCUUAUAUUAUAUGCUAAUGUCCUUUUGGAACCAACUUUGUUAAAAUAAUGCGAUAUUGUGAUCAGCAUGCCCCCUUGUUUCCCCUUGUUUCUAAGAAAUGAAAAGGCAGAUAAGCAUUCCAUUAAAGUAAUGUCACCAUUUUUGCCUCCUUGUUGCAAGUCAAAAAUCAUUUUAUUCUCUAUUAAUUCCGCAACAAAUUUGAGCCACAUAAUGACGUAUUAAUGAGAAAAAAAAAAUUAGUGACCAACCAAUGCUGAGUUGAACAUGCCCUUUAAUUUAACAAGAACACGACACUCAUUAGUAGAUUUAUGUUGACCUAAAAAGACACGAUUAUUAAUCAAGACAAAACUUAAGUUAUCCAUUGAUUAAUCGUGUCAAAUUUAGAUUAAGAGUUUUUUAACGCUCCAAUCCAUUAAUGAUAAGAUUAAUUAUCUGAUUAAAGAUAUAGUAUUAUAUCGUUGUUUAAUCUAAUUAUACCCUAUUCUUUAAACCAUAUAAUCUAGAAUUAUCUAGUUAUAUUUUGACAGAAGAUUAAUUAGAAUUUUGAGUUUGUAAUAUGUUAUUAUAAACAUGUUACACAAGUGUUUUUUUUUUUUUUUAAAUUCAAAUAUAAAGAAUAUGUUAAAUGAGUGGCAUGAUUUAUUAACAACUUGAAUUAGAGAUUCUAGACGCGAUUAAUAAAAUAUGUGUCUCAAUUUGACACACACCACACGACACGCUAACUCAAAUUGUUUCCAGGUUGAAGAAGUCUAAGAAAGAAAUUAAUAAGGAAAAGGCAUUUCUGGUCCCCGUUGAUGGCCAUUAAUUACAAUGAAGAAGUCGUUGUCGCUAAUUACAGCCAUAAUAAAUGCACAUACGAUUAGCGGAGAAAACCCAUUAAAAGAUAAAAUGAUGCAACCUCGGAAUGGAUAAGCAUUACAUGAGAAUGAAUGAUACAGCGAUUUGCCUCCUUAUUGCAAGCCUAAAUACCGAAAAGCACAUCAAAUGAAUCUCAACUUGCCUCCUAAUUGCAAGUCAAAACUCUAGAACGCACUUAAAAUCAAUCUCAAGUGGGGACGAAUUGUCAUAAAAGAAUUGAGCAAGCAAGCGGCAAUCAACCUCUCAAAUGGAGCCACUUUGUUUUAUUGUUUAUACAUUAUCCUCAAGCUUUUCUUUCUUUUCUUUUUUUAAUUAAAAAAAGAAAAGCAAA
rnacentral:lncRNA from 1 species